UGUUCUGAUAUAUGGGCUCUGUUAG
rnacentral:misc_RNA from 1 species